GUCUACGGCCAUGCUACCCUGAAUGUGCCUGAUCUCGUCUGAUCUCAGAAUCUAACCGAGCCUGGUUAGUACUUGGAUGGGAGACUGUAGAUGUUUAGGCCUGGUUAGUACUUGGAUGGGAGACUACCUACGUGCUGUAGAUG
rnacentral:rRNA from 1 species